AAGAAGGCCUUCGGGUUGUAAAGCACUUUCAGUCGUGAGGAAGGUUUAUGCGUUAAUAGCGUAUAGAUUUGACGUUAGUGACAGAAGAAGCACCGGCUAACUCCGUGCCAGCAGCCGCGGUAAUACGGAGGGUGCGAGCGUUAAUCGGAAUUACUGGGCGUAAAGCGCAUGCAGGUGGUUUGUUAAGUCAGAUGUGAAAGCCCGGGGCUCAACCUCGGAAUUGCAUUUGAAACUGGCAGACUAGAGUACUGUAGAGGGGGGUAGAAUUUCAGGUGUAGCGGUGAAAUGCGUAGAGAUCUGAAGGAAUACCGGUGGCGAAGGCGGCCCCCUGGACAGAUACUGACACUCAGAUGCGAAAGCGUGGGGAGCAAACAGGAUUAGAUACCCUGGUAGUCCACGCCGUAAACGAUGUCUACUUGGAGGUUGUGGCCUUGAGCCGUGGCUUUCGGAGCUAACGCGUUAAGUAGACCGCCUGGGGAGUACGGUCGCAAGAUUAAAACUCAAAUGAAUUGACGGGGGCCCGCACAAGCGGUGGAGCAUGUGGUUUAAUUCGAUGCAACGCGAAGAACCUUACCUACUCUUGACAUCCAGAGAACUUUCCAGAGAUGGAUUGGUGCCUUCGGGAACUCUGAGACAGGUGCUGCAUGGCUGUCGUCAGCUCGUGUUGUGAAAUGUUGGGUUAAGUCCCGCAACGAGCGCAACCCUUAUCCUUGUUUGCCAGCGAGUAAUGUCGGGAACUCCAGGGAGACUGCCGGUGAUAAACCGGAGGAAGGUGGGGACGACGUCAAGUCAUCAUGGCCCUUACGAGUAGGGCUACACACGUGCUACAAUGGCGCAUACAGAGGGCGGCCAACUUGCGAAAGUGAGCGAAUCCCAAAAAGUGCGUCG
rnacentral:rRNA from 1 species